UUUAGGUUACUGUAGCCCCACUUCUGUGUAAACAACGCCCAGUGCACAUGACCUUACGACAAAAUGCACAGAAUUGUCAAA
ensembl:ncRNA C04C3.13 ncRNA